UACAGAGGUCUCAAGCGUUGUUCGGAUUCAUUGGGCGUAAAGGGUGUGUAGGUGGCGCCGUAAGUCGGGUGUGAAAUUUCGGAGCUUAACUCCGAAACUGCAUUCGAUACUGCGGUGCUUGAGGACUGGAGAGGAGACUGGAAUUCAUGGUGUAGCAGUGAAAUGCGUAGAGAUCAUGAGGAAGACCGGUGGCGAAGGCAGGUCUCUGGACAGUCCCUGACGCUGAGGCACGAAGGCGAGGGGAGCAAACAGG
rnacentral:rRNA from 1 species